rnacentral:rRNA from 1 species
GAUCCUGGCUCAGGAUGAACGCUGGCGGCGUGCCUAACACAUGCAAGUCGAGCGAAGCGGUUUUUAAGGAAGUUUUCGGAUGGAAUUAAAACUGACUGAGCGGCGGACGGGUGAGUAACGCGUGGGUAACCUGCCUCAUACAGGGGGAGUAACAGUUAGAAAUGGCUGCUAAUACCGCAUAAGCACACAGCUUCGCAUGGAGGCAGUGUGAAAACUACCGUCGGUAGUGAGAUGGACCGCCGU